UUUCGCGCGUUUCCAAUUUCGGCCGCACGGUGGUGACACAGUUCGAUCUCGAGGCGAAUAGCUAGUAGAGACGGCGAUUGAGCGCCAUGCUUUGAGGUGGCGGAAACAAGAAUCCUACGCUUGAGCGCAGAAAGAGCGCCUCAAGGAAACGAGGGAUGUUAACGGCUGUACUCGUCCUAGUGGUCGGAGUCGGUUAUUAACAUAUUUGACGUCAUCGUGACGUCACCCUACUUUUCUCUCUCUUUUUUUUUUUCGCUCAUCGGUCGCUCUUUUUCUCGCUUCUUUGCUCGCUCGGACGCCCGAAGCGCGUUACAACAGCCAAGGCUACGGCAGCGCCGGCCUAGUCAAACCAGCCGGCAAAGCUGAGUCACAGUCCGUUGCAGCACAAGCCUGGCGGUGGUUGAUUUGAAAUAGUAGGAUGACUCACGCAAGAAGUUCAACAGAUUUCCGAAUGCUUCUGCGCCCUUAGUAUUGCACGGCUCAAGGGUACGUCAUCAGACGACGUGAACGUGAUCCGCUGCUCUGGUGAUGCGAUACCCAUGGGAAGGAGGCCAGACGAGGCCUCGCUGUGCCAACCCAGACUUUGUACACCUGUGACUCGCCUCAAGAGCGCUGUUUCUCAGAGAGCUCGAACCUGCGACGGAAAUUUCAGGUCGCACUCCACGAGGGCCUCUGUUUGGAUGAUGCUAGGCGAAACUUGAGCGCUGCCAUUGUGAGCAUAGCUUAACCGUAGCCAUCUUUUUUUCUUCCAUCCCCUCUGCGGCCCCCGCUCCGUUCUUUCCUUCCGAAUUGCUCCCCGCAACCCGAGUCCUCUACAGCCGUCUACAGCCAACGAGUCCUCGCCGCUCAAACCGACCGUCCCUUCUCCUCAUCCUCAGUUCAACCCAUCGCCCAAAUGUAAACGCCAGCCAGGUCGACUUUGCUCGACAGCCCCGGCAGCCGACUUCGCCGCAGCUGUAACCUUACCCCCCUCCUCACAAACCAGCUUCGCUCUCGCCCUCGCUUCUGCCCGCUGACAUCGCCUCUUCGCCGUCUUCGCCUGAAGAUUCUCCAAGGCAGACUGCUUCCGCCCGUCCUACUGACUCAGACAGACCUUCCUUUUCCGUAAUAAACAGUUAAUCUUUAAAGUUAUUCCUUCUUCGUGGGCCCUCACACCAUCCGUGCGUCAGCAGGUCAGUAGAAAGGAUCGUCACAACAGCGAUGCCGCCGUGUCGUUUUUUCAACCGUAACAGAAGAGGAUGUCUUUUGCCGCAUUUGUGACGGACUGCGGCUCCACGGCGGCGGGCACGACCGGUCCCUGUUGCACCGGAGCCGGGCCAACGGCAAGAACGCUGACGUCAGCGGGCCCCGGCGCGUGGACGACCCGGCGGAACAUCGAGACGCCAUCCGGUGCUUCGGCGCUCGGCUGGCCCGCGACCCUGUGUUUUCUGCCGCCGCCCUGGAAGCAGCCGGACUGCAAGGGGUAGCUGCUUCGGCCUUGGCGACUGUGCCACCGAGACCGCCAACACCGCGCACCGAAGACCAGGCCGGGCCCAGCGGACUAUAGGACCUGAUCGACGGGGACAUUGACCUCAACCCGCUGUGACCUGUAGACCGCUGGGCAGGGACGACGACUACGAGCCCCUUUGGGCUCGGAAUAAACAUCAUGAACACAAGCCUCUGUCGCCGUCGUCCACCAGCUAGGAGACACGAAGCCUCCUUUGCUCUCAAGCCCCCCCAAACCUAGGUAUAGAUACGUACAAAUAAUUUUCUUUUUAUAAGUAAACGCCCGCACUGACUCUUUUCAGGUCCAUUCCAAUAACUGUGGCUUCGUAGUAUCUCCUGUUUUUCUUUGCGAAUUGGCUCUUAUAUUAAAAUUUUCUUUUUGGCAUUAGUAGGCCCCAUUUAUUUAUUUUUAAUUGGUUUAAACUUGUUAUAUUGUUCGGUGGUUCAGGUAGAGAGACACAUUAUAUUUUUAUUCAUUCUAGCUCUCACUCAAAAAAAUGUAAAAAAAAAAAAAGGUAUAUGUAAAAUGUUCCACCGAGACCGCCAGCGCCGCUCACCGAAGUACAGGUCGGGCCCAGCGGAAUACAGGAUCUGGUCGACGUGGACAUUGACCUCGACCUGCUGUGGCCUGUAGACCACUGGGCAGGGACGACGACUUCGAGCCCCUUUGGGCUCGGGACGAACUAUCCGGAAAUCCUCUCGUAACGAAAGACGGCCAGCCAGGUCAACCUAUGGCAGUGCCAGACCUUUCGGCUACGCUUUUCCCCAGAUGAAUGGGACCGACUAGUCGGAUCAAAUAGGGAAUGGCCUCAGCUCAGCAAACUACAUGCAACAUUUCCAUUAUCUUCCCUACCUUUGUUCGCCGACACAGCAUGCAUGUUCGUUUUGUUGACCUGUAAUUCUCAGAACCUAUAGGGCGGUGAUACACCGUACAGUUGUUGCUUUUCUAGCAUGCCCGCCUUUUUUCAGCACUACGAAGCAGGAGCGUUGUAACUAAACCACGCUCCUUUAUCGUACCCAGUUGUGUCUUCCUCGAUUCGUGUGGGUCUAUUUGGACGCACUCGCUUACCGCAUGUUUAAAGGUGAAGUCAAACCUUUGACUCACGUGCUUAAUAGAGAAUUAUCACUUUUAUGUUUGGUUCACGUGCGUUUUUUAGAAUCGACUUUUUCAGGAUAUUCAGUAUCCAGUUAUCAUGCAUUCAACCAUGGCUAAAAGCGCCAAAAAGAGGUACACAAGAUAGAAGACAAACACAAGCGCUUCUUCUAUCUUGUGUACGUCUUUUUAGCGCUUUUAACAUGCAUGGUU